rnacentral:rRNA from 1 species
UACGGAGGGUGCGAGCGUUGUCCGGAAUCACUGGGCGUAAAGGGCGCGUAGGCGGCCUGAUAAGUCGGGGGUGAAAGCCUGUGGCUCAACCACAGAAUUGCCUUCGAUACUGUUAGGCUUGAGACCGGAAGAGGUAAGUGGAACUGCGAGUGUAGAGGUGAAAUUCGUAGAUAUUCGCAAGAACACCAGUGGCGAAGGCGGCUUACUGGUCCGGUUCUGACGCUGAGGCGCGAAAGCGUGGGGAGCAAACAGGG